rnacentral:rRNA from 1 species
UACGAAGGGGGCUAGCGUUGCUCGGAAUCACUGGGCGUAAAGGGCUCGUAGGCGGCCAACUAAGUCGGACGUGAAAUCCCCAGGCUCAACCUGGGAACUGCGUCUGAUACUGGAUGGCUUGAAUCCGGGAGAGGGAUGCAGAAUUCCAGGUGUAGCGGUGAAAUGCGUAGAUAUCUGGAGGAAUACCGGUGGCGAAGGCGGCAUCCUGGACCGGCAUUGACGCUGAGGAGCGAAAGCCAGGGGAGCAAACGGG